UGCCCCUACGGUCAUAUGGUGUCGGUGCGACACCGGGGCUCCGGCUCUUCGCUUGCCCUUUUCUUCUCCUUUCUUCUCUCCUUGCCUUCUCCUCCUCGAAUCCAUGAAGACCAUUGUUCUCUCCAGAUCCGGAGCCUUCUCCAAUGGCCACGGUCGAUUACUCCGGUCGCCGCCGCGAAGGCAUCAUUUUUCUCGAUCCAUCAUCACCUCCCCAUCGGCGGCUCAGGGAAGUCUGAAAUUCGGAUGUUUGCCAUCUUCCAUUGAAGCCCCAUGGAGCUAAUCAACCAAGACUGCACUGUAGGCGACUUCAUUGGUUGCUCAUUUAGCAGCCCAGUCGUUUAAAGUGGGAUUAAUGAUUUUCUCAGAUGAGAUGGAGGAAAACUUGUUUUAUGGAGGGAGACUCUGCUGCAACGGAGAUACGAAUGAAACUCGGAGAAUUUAGACAAUCAUGUAAAGAAGCAAGGAUUGUUUUUAAGCUCAAUCAUGUAAAGAUAUGAAACUUGUAUUGAGACAGUCACGUUGAGCAGUCUUGGGAAUAUUACUACAAAGAAACCAGGAUAAUAGGAAAUAUAAUCACAACAUGUGAUGAAGCAUAGGUUCAGACUUGGGAAUAUUACUGCAAAGAACUAGGUUUCUUUUAAGCCC